rnacentral:rRNA from 1 species
GGGGAAUAUUGCACAAUGGGCGCAAGCCUGAUGCAGCGAUGCCGCGUGCGGGAAGAAGGCCUUAGGGUUGUAAACCGCUUUCAGUAGGGAAGAAAAUGACGGUACCUACAGAAGAAGGUGCGGCCAACUACGUGCCAGCAGCCGCGGUGACACGUAGGCACCAAGCGUUGUCCGGAUUUAUUGGGCGUAAAGAGCUCGUAGGCGGUUUAGUAAGUCGGGUGUGAAAACUUAGGGCUCAACCCUGAGAGGCCACUCGAUACUGCUAUGACUUGAGUACGGUAGGGGAGUGGGGAAUUUCUAGUGUAGCGGUGAAAUGCGCAGAUAUUAGAAGGAACACCAGUGGCGAAGGCGCCACUCUGGGCCGUAACUGACGCUGAGGAGCGAAAGCAUGGGUAGCAAAC